rnacentral:tRNA from 1 species
GGAUGGGUGGCCGAGUGGUUUAAGGCACCGGUCUUGAAAACCGGCGUAGGUGCAAGCCUGCCGUGGGUUCAAAUCCCACCCCAUCCGCCA